CGUCAUACUGCAUUACAACUGAAAUCAGUGACGUCAUCAAAAGAUACUCUGGGCUUGGUGGGAGCUGCAAGCGCAAGGGGUUCUUAGGCUCCGAGAGCCCAAUGUACAUCACGCAAAAAGUGGCCACCCAAUAAAGGUGUGCAGAGCUACCCUGGUCCAUCCGACUGUUUGGCAGCCAUAUCCAAGGGAAGAGGUUUUGUGCCUUAACGUACACUAGCGAGGGGUUCCAUUCAUACAGGCUAAUGGUUGAAGAGAAAAGAAUACAUGUACAUACACGUGAGUCUGUUGUAACCUUGGCUUGUUCAACCACCGAAGCUCGUAGACAUUCAGAGGAUAUCCGGUGUUGUACGUGUCCCACCAGAGCGUCAUUCCGGUCAUUCAACAAGUUGGAAGUUAGGACAACCGGUUACAACGAG